GUCUUCCUCGAGGCUGUUGGUUGACUGUUGUUUCGCUGUACUAUCGACAAGUGAGAGAUCAAGCAGAACUGCAAACGUGACCGCCAUUUAUUUCUUCACCAUUGAAUGUGGGAGCGGGAUUUGUCAUUGCCAUUGAAAGGAGUAAGAAGACAUUGCGCAUCUUUCAGAUAAUCAUCUUGGGGACGAAGUCCGAUGCUGGAGGGAUGCUUUAAUGUACUCCCGGACCGAAAACCCGUCUCCAACC